GACGAACGCUGGCGGCGUGCUUAACACAUGCAAGUCGAGCGGUAAGGCCCUUUCGGGGGUACACGAGCGGCGAACGGGUGAGUAACACGUGGGUGACCUGCCCUCAGCUCUGGGAUGAGCCUGGGAAACUGGGUCUAAUACUGGAUAUGACUCCACGGUGCAUGUCGUGGGGUGGAAAGCCUUGUGCGGCUGAGGAUGGGCCCGCGGCCUAUCAGCUUGUUGGUGGGGUGAUGGCCUACCAAGGCGACGACGGGUAGCCGGCCUGAGAGGGCGACCGGCCACACUGGGACUGAGACACGGCCCAGACUCCUACGGGAGGCAGCAGUGGGGAAUCUUGCGCAAUGGGCGAAAGCCUGACGCAGCGACGCCGCGUGAGGGAUGACGGCCUGG
rnacentral:rRNA from 1 species